UACAGAGGGUGCAAGCGUUAAUCGGAAUUACUGGGCGUAAAGCGUGCGUAGUCGGUUAUCUAAGUCGGGUGUGAAAUCCCCGGGCUCAACCUGGGAAUGGCAUUUGUGACUGCACGGCUAGAGUGUGUCAGAGGGGGGUAGAAUUCCACGUGUAGCAGUGAAAUGCGUAGAUAUGUGGAGGAAUACCGAUGGCGAAGGCAGCCCCCUGGGAUAACACUGACGCUCAUGCACGAAAGCGUGGGGAGCAAACAGG
rnacentral:rRNA from 1 species